UCACCCAUUUUUGCACCCGUUAACCGAGACCUAUGGGUGGAUAAAUUACGUCUCUCAUAUCCUGUAGUGAAGGGAUUACAGGAAAUAUAGUAUCGC
ncrna:unclassified sequences PhotoRC-II RNA